rnacentral:rRNA from 1 species
AUUGAACGCUGGCGGCAGGCUUAACACAUGCAAGUCGAGCGGGGAAAGGUAGCUUGCUACCUGACCUAGCGGCGGACGGGUGAGUAAUGCUUAGGAAUCUGCCUAUUAGUGGGGGACAACAUUCCGAAAGGAAUGCUAAUACCGCAUACGCCCUACGGGGGAAAGCAGGGGAUCUUCGGACCUUGCGCUAAUAGAUGAGCCUAAGUCAGAUUAGCUAGUUGGUGGGGUAAAGGCCUACCAAGGCGACGAUCUGUAGCGGGUCUGAGAGGAUGAUCCGCCACCCUGGGACUGGAACACGGCCCAGACUCCUACGUGAGGCAGCAGUGGGAAAUAUUGGACAAUGGGCGAAAGCCUGAUCCAGCCAUGCCGCGUGUGUGAGGAAGGCCUUUUGGUUGUAAAGCACUUUAAGCGAGGAGGAGGCUACUUGGAUUAAUACUCUAGGAUAGUGGACGUUACUCGCAGAAUAAGCACCGGCUAACUCUGUGCCAGCCGCCGCCGUAACAC